GGCAUCGGCUCACUCCAACCCCUGUGACAUACCUUAUGUUGCCUCGGCGGAUCAGCCCGCGCCCCGUAAAAAGGGACGGCCCGCCGCAGGAACCCUAAACUCUGUUUUUAGUGGAACUUCUGAGUAUAAAAAACAAAUAAAUCAAAACUUUCAACAACGGAUCUCUUGGUUCUGGCAUCGAUGAAGAACGCAGCAAAAUGCGAUAAGUAAUGUGAAUUGCAGAAUUCAGUGAAUCAUCGAAUCUUUGAACGCACAUUGCGCCCGCCAGUAUUCUGGCGGGCAUGCCUGUUCGAGCGUCAUUUCAACCCUCAAGCCCAGCUUGGUGUUGGGAGCUGCAGUCCUGCUGCACUCCCCAAAUACAUUGGCGGUCACGUCGAGCUUCCAUAGCGUAGUAAUUUACACAUCGUUACUGGUAAUCGUCGCGGCCACGCCGUUAAACCCCAACUUCUGAAUGUUGACCUCGGAUCAGGUAGGAAUACCCGCUGAACUUAAGCUAAUCAAGGCCCGGAGGAAAA
rnacentral:rRNA from 1 species